rnacentral:rRNA from 1 species
AUUGAACGCUGGCGGCAGGCCUAACACAUGCAAGUCGAGCGGAAGAACGCAGCUUGCUCCUGGCUUCAGCGGCGAACGGGUGAGUAAUGCCUAGGAAUCUGCCUCGUAGUGUCGGAUAACGUCCGGGAACGGGCGCUUAUACCGCAUACGUCCUGAUGUAGAAAGUGGGGGAUCGUCGGACCUUACGCUAUAAGAUGAGCCUAGGUCGGAUUAGCUAGUUUGUGGGGUAAAGGCCUACCAAGGCGACGAACCGUAACUGGUCUGAGAGGAUGAUCAGUCGCACUGGAGCGGAGACACCGACAAUGCUACUACGAGAGGCAGCAGUCGGCAAUGUUAGACAACGGGCGAAAGCAUGACCCAGCCAUGCCGCGUGUGUUAAGAAGGUGCUGGGUUUGUAAAGACGUCUUUGUUGGUAUAAAGGCCAGUCGGUUAAUACCUAGCUUUUUUGACGGUACCUACAGAAUAAGCACCGGCUAACUUCGUG